UACGUAGGGGGCAAGCGUUGUCCGGAUUCAUUGGGCGUAAAGAGCUCGUAGGCGGCUUGGCAAGUCGGGUGUGAAAACUCCAGGCUCAACCUGGAGACGCCACCCGAUACUGCUAUGGCUUGAGUCCGGUAGGGGACCACGGAAUUCCUGGUGUAGCGGUGAAAUGCGCAGAUAUCAGGAGGAACACCGGUGGCGAAGGCGGUGGUCUGGGCCGGAACUGACGCUGAGGAGCGAAAGCGUGGGGAGCAAACAGG
rnacentral:rRNA from 1 species